rnacentral:rRNA from 1 species
UGCCAGCAGCCGCGGUAAUACUGAAGGUGCAAGCGUUAAUCGGAAUCACUGGGCGUAAAGCGCUCGUAGGUGGCUUUGUAAGUCAGAUGUGAAAGCCCACGGCUCAACCGUGGAAUUGCAUUUGAUACUGCAUCGCUAGAGUAUAGGAGAGGGAAGUGGAAUUUCUGGUGUAGGAGUGAAAUCCGUAGAGAUCAGAAGGAACACCGGUGGCGAAGGCGACUUCCUGGACUAUUAAUGAAACUGAGGAGAGAACACGUGGGGCGCAAACAGUAUUAGAUC